rnacentral:tRNA from 1 species
GGGGUUGUAGCUCAAUUGGUAGAGCGCCCGGCCCGCAACCGGGAGGUUGGGAGUUCGAGUCUCCUCUUCUCCA